CAGUCGAGCGGAUCGAUGGGAGCUUGCUCCCUGAGAUCAGCGGCGGACGGGUGAGUAACACGUGGGUAACCUGCCUGUAAGACUGGGAUAACUCCGGGAAACCGGGGCUAAUACCGGAUAACACCUACCCCCGCAUGGGGGAAGGUUGAAAGGUGGCUUCGGCUAUCACUUACAGAUGGACCCGCGGCGCAUUAGCUAGUUGGUGAGGUAAUGGCUCACCAAGGCGACGAUGCGUAGCCGACCUGAGAGGGUGAUCGGCCACACUGGGACUGAGACACGGCCCAGACUCCUACGGGAGGCAGCAGUAGGGAAUCUUCCGCAAUGGACGAAAGUCUGACGGAACAACGCCGCGUGAGUGAAGAAGGUUUUCGGAUCGUAAAACUCUGUUGUUAGGGAAGAACAAGUGCCGUUCGAAUAGGGCGGCGCCUUGACGGUACCUAACCAGAAAGCCACGGCUAACUACGUGCCAGCAGCCGCGGUAAUACGUAUGUGGCAAGCGUUGUCCGGAAUUAUUGGGCGUAAAGCGCGCGCAGGUGGUUUCUUAAGUCUGAUGUGAAAGCCCACGGCUCAACCGUGGAGGGUCAUUGGAAACUGGGGAACUUGAGUGCAGAAGAGGAAAGUGGAAUUCCAAGUGUAGCGGUGAAAUGCGUAGAUAUUUGGAGGAACACC
rnacentral:rRNA from 2 species